rnacentral:sRNA from 1 species
AUAUUGCGUUAACGAUUGCAGCGUCAUCCUUUUUUGCUUUUCAACAAAAAAGAUACAGCGGAAAGCGUGUUAAAAC